GAUGAACGCUAGCUACAUGCUUAAUACAUGCAAGUCGAGGGAACACACCAUCGACUUCUUCCUUUUACUUUACCGCCGCCCGCGCGCGUAAGAGUAACACAUCUUCAACCUACGCAUCACUUAGCUAUAACCUUGCGGAGCUAAUACUAAUACCCAAUGAUAUCUCUAUAAUACAUCUGUAAGAGAUUAUUUUUCUAUCACUGAUAGAUGGGUCCGCGUCGCAUUAGCUUGUUGGCAAGGUAACGGCCUACCAAGGCGACGAUGCGUAGCCGAUCUGAGAGGGUGAUCAGCCACACUGGAACUGAGACACGGUCCAGACUCCUACGGGAGGCAGCAGAAGGGAAUCUUCCGCAAGGGGCGGAAGCCUGACGGAGCAACGCCGCGUGAGUGAUGAAGGUCUUCGGAUCGUAAAACUCUGUUAUUAGGGAAGAACAAAUGUGUAAGUAACUAUGCACGUCUUGACGGUACCUAAUCAGAAAGCCACGGCUAACUACGUG
rnacentral:rRNA from 1 species